rnacentral:rRNA from 1 species
UGGGGAAUAUUGCACAAUGGGCGCAAGCCUGAUGCAGCGACGCCGCGUGAGGGAUGACGGCCUUCGGGUUGUAACCUCUUUCGCCAGGACGAAGCGCAAGUGACGGUACCUGGAGAAGAAGCACCGGCCAACUACGUGCCAGCAGCCGCGGUAAUACGUAGGGUGCGAGCGUUGUCCGGAAUUACUGGGCGUAAAGAGCUCGUAGGUGGUUUGUCGCGUUGUUCGUGAAAACUCACAGCUUAACUGUGGGCGUGCGGGCGAUACGGGCAGACUGGAGUACUGCAGGGGAGACUGGAAUUCCUGGUGUAGCGGUGGAAUGCGCAGAUAUCAGGAGGAACACCGGUGGCGAAGGCGGGUCUCUGGGCAGUAACUGACGCUGAGGAGCGAAAGCGUGGGGAGCGAACAGGAUUAGAUACCCUGGUAGUCCACGCCGUAAACGGUGGGUACUAGGUGUGGGUUUCCUUCCUUGGGAUCCGUGCCGUAGCUAACGCAUUAAGUACCCCGCCUGGGGAGUACGGCCGCAAGGCUAAAACUCAAAGGAAUUGACGGGGGCCCGCACAAGCGGCGGAGCAUGUGGAUUAAUUCGAUGCAACGCGAAGAACCUACCUGGGUGUGACAUGCACAGGACGACUUCAACAGGUGGGUUAUCCUUUGCCGCUGCAGCGU